rnacentral:lncRNA from 1 species
CGGACUUCACGUUGGAUGAAAGGUGAAGGAGGAACCAGCCCGUUCUUAUGUUGGGUUUGUCCAGCACCAAGGCAGUUGUCCGAAUGAAGGAGACGACCCUCUUUGGCCGUGCAGGGGGGCUGCAUACCCAGAUCUCGACUUCUGCAGAGGGUUCAAAAAGUAUAGACGAGACCUGGUGGUUGGGCGCGCAGGCUGCGAGUUGGUGCAGCGAUGAGCUAAUCAGCAAGUGCAGCUUCCGCACCGCUCGCCUAACAAGGAAGCCGCGCACUGCGGCUUGUAGGCGCACCACAGCCUGCUCAUGUGAUGACGGCCAUGGGGUGGCCCUGGAGGCCACAGCAAGGUGCUUCUCCCCACGAAGGGACUGUACCUGGCGGCGUGCCAGGAACCCUCGCGCUGCCGCCUGAAGCCGCAACGCUGCUUGGAGUUCCUUCUCUGUCUUCUCCUUGUAGCGGUGGAACAUCACAACGAACUGAUCCCACUUCUCUGUGAGACGACCAAAACUCUCUUUGAGCCGAGUGAAUGCAUCUAGAGUUGGAGAGGGCGGGUGGGAGGGCGUUGCGGCGGCUGAUUGCGCGGCGGCUGGUGGUGGUGAGGGAUAGGCGGCUGGUGGUGGUGAGGAUAACCUGGAGCUGAUACCAGGUGUCAUGGACCUUCGGUCCAUGGGGAUAGCUGUCUUCUCCGGCGAGGUUAUACCCCUCUGUCGCAGGCUUGGUUCUAGGGUAGCAGCCCUAGGCGCUUGAGAGAGAGUCAUUGCAAGGGAGAGAGAUUGGUUUGAUAAUGAUCUUGCUUGAUUUAUUCUCUGCUGUCAUGCGGCUUAUAAAUAGCCCUAUGGCUAACCAACUUCUUCUACAAACUCUCAACUAACUCCUACUUUCUUGGACUUAUCUGCUGCUAACCAACUCUCCACAAUUCUCUCAUCUCAAUCUUAUUCUCUAGCCUUAUCCCAGCUCAUCUCAAUCUUAUUCUCUAGCCUUAUCCUAGCCUGGUUGUUGCCUCUUGCUCCCUAUGAUGCCCAUGACAUCUCCCCCUCCCUUGAGGACCAGCUCGUCCUCGAGCUGCCAUAGACUUACCUGACACGACUUAAGGUUAAGCCUUUUACAUCUCGGCUUACCUUUAUUAUUUAAGACGAAAAUACAAAAUAAUUGUGGAACUAAAAUAUAAAUUUGAACUGCAGCUAUGUCCUCCUGUCCUCCUGGAUCCCAAGGAAAGAGCUGAACUGCGGACUUCACGUUGGAUGAAAGGUGAAGGAGGAACCAGCCCGUUCUUAUGUUGGGUAUGCAGCCCCCCUCGGCAGAGAGGUAUAACCUCGCCGGAGAAGACAACUAUCCCCAUGGACCGAAGGUCCAUGACAUUGAUGUACUAUAUCUACUACUGGCGUCUCAAGUAAAGCUUCACUAACUGCAUGUGAAGUAUGUGUUGUAAGUUGUAACAAAGCUCUGCUUAAUCCGCGUGUCACAAUGAACCUUGGGAAAUUUGGGCUACUAUUAGGGCUAGUUUGGGAACACCAUUUUCCCAAUGGAUUCCUAUUUUGCCCAAGGGAAAAUAAAUUAAUUUUCCUGGGAAAACAAAAAUCUCUUGGGAAAAUGUGGUUUCCAAAUCAGCCCUUAGAAUGGUGAAAUGCAUUGGGAAGCUUCCUAUGCCAUUCGUGCUCAACAUGAAAGGUCACUAGAUAACACUAGUAACUAAUAAUUGAUGGUAGAAGAUAGUAUUGUUGCAUUGCUUUUUUAUCUGGUUGUUUUGCAACGGACUAAUACUUGAUUUGGUGCAUCCUGAUU